UAGUGGUUAGAGGGUUGGCAGGUAGCCUAGUGGUUAGAGGGGAGGCAGGUAGCCUAGUGGUUAGAGGGGUGGCAGGUAGCCUAGUGGUUAGAGGGGAGGCAGGUAGCCUAGUGGUUAGAGGGGAGGCAGGUAGCCUAGUGGUUAGAGGGGAGGCAGGUAGCCUAGUGGUUAGAGGGGAGGCAGGUAGCCUAGUGGUUAGGGGGGGGGGCAGGUAGCCUAGUGGUUAGAGGGGAGGCAGGUAGCCUAGUGGUUAGAGGGGAGGCAGGUAGCCUAGUGGUUAGAGGGGAGGCAGGUAGCCUAGUGGUUAGAGGGGCGCCAGGUAGCCUAGUGGUUAGAGGGGAGGCAGGUAGCCUAGUGGUUAGAGGGGAGGCAGGUAGCCUAGUGGUUAGAGGGGUGGCAGGUAGCCUAGUGGUUAGAGGGGAGGCAGGUAGCCUAGUGGUUAGAGGGGAGGCAGGUAGCCUAGUGGUUAGAGGGGAGGCAGGUAGCCUAGUGGUUAGAGGGGCGGCAGGUAGCCUAGUGGUUAGAGGGGAGGCAGGUAGCCUAGUGGUUAGAGGGGAGGCAGGUAGCCUAGUGGUUAGAGGGGAGGCAGGUAGCCUAGUGGUUAGAGGGUAGGGGCGGCAGGUAGCCUAGUGGUUAGAGGGGGCAGGUAACCUAGUGGUUAGAGUGUAGGGGCGGCAGGUAGCCUAGUGGUUAGAGGGGAGGCAGGUAGCCUAGUGGUUAGAGUGUAGGGGCGGCAG
ensembl:lncRNA